rnacentral:SRP_RNA from 1 species
GGCCAUGUCUCAUGCAGUACAGCGCUGUGAACCCCGUCAGGCCCGGAAGGGAGCAGCGGUAAACGGUACGCUGUAUGUGUAUGUAAGGCAUGGCCCCU